rnacentral:rRNA from 1 species
CUGCAACUCGACUGCACGAAGCUGGAAUCGCUAGUAAUCGCGGAUCAGCACGCCGCGGUGAAUACGUUCCCGGGUCUUGUACACACCGCCCGUCACACCAUGGGAGUCGGAAAUGCCCGAAGUCUGUGACCCAACCGGAAGGAAGGAGCAGCCGAAGGCAGGUCUGAUGACUGGGGUGAAGUCGUAACAAGGUAAC